GAAAAGUGCAAAACACAGCUUUAUAAGGUAGAUUUGUAUUAAAACUGUUGUCUUGCAAACAGCAACAGUGAAUGCAAAGUACUUUACUUUACUUUAUUUGAAAUAUCGCGUGCGUAUUAGGCCUAAAUGCAAAAUGGAGAAUUCGCAAUUCCUCCCAUUAUUGUGAAUUAGCAGUAGCAACUGUAGCAAGUCAAUAAUUAAUAAUCAUAAAGUUUAUUUCUCUUUGAUUUAAUUGAUCAAGUAAUAACUGAAUUUUUAGCAUGAACUGACGAUGUAAUAUCCUACAGAAAAAAAUCUUAAUACCGCGAUGAUAUCCACCAUGGAAUGCCAACCCUACUUUAGAGUAUUGUACUCUAUAUCAUUUAAGCGUGAUCUAUAAUCUAUAACACUAAUAGAGUACGCUAAAAUAGCCUUUUUUUUACACAUUUUUACUAGUCAUAAUAUUACGCAAAAACACAUAAUCAAAACCAAAAAAGUCGACUAUUUACUUUGGACGAUCCUGAACGCAGCCACUUAUGUCAAACGUCAAAUGUCACAUGUGACAAGUUAUUUUGAGAAGUUUUUGAGGUUUGUUUUGUUUGUGACUUUGGUUUUGUUUGUUUGGAAUACUUUUAUCCAUUCGUUAUAACGUGAUUGAUGAACAUUGAUAACGCCGAUCAAGCAUCCUGUACUGAUAAUAAUAACGCAAGUACCCCAUCUAAAAAUCGAAAAGUUUUGACGAAGAAAAAAAAAGGACACAGAAGUACACACAACUUUGGGAAAAUGAGUUUUCAUGGCUAAGAAAAGACUCAGAAAGUGAUACAAAUGCAAAAUCCAUAAUCUGUGGCGAAGUUUUCUCUCUAUUCCAUCAGCUGGAGUUGUACACGAUAGGAAUAUUUACAUAUUGUAUGAUGAAUAUGAUGAUGAUAAAGAAAACGAUGAUUUAAAUAUGAAGAUAUAAUUGGAAUAAUCAUAAAAUGAGAAUAUGCAUAUAAAAAUCUACAUAAUGAGAAUGGCUGAGGGUCAGCAUUGAUCUAUUAAAUCAAGAUCGUUAAAACACUUUAAUAUAAUUACAAAGAAAAGGCCGAUUUAAUAUGGAGACACAAGAAUAUAAGACAUAAAAUGAAAGGAUUGGAAUACCUACAUUAUGAGAAUAUGGAAAGAAAAUACUUACAUUUUAUACACAUAAUACAAGAAUGUAUUGGAAAUAUUGGAAUAUUAAGAGAAUGGCUGUCUAAAGCUCUAUUAAAUCAAGAUGGUUAACACACUUUAAUAAAAUUACAAAGAAAAUGUUGAUUUAAUAUGAAGACACAAGAAUAUUAGAAUUAAAAUAUAAUAAUUUGAAUACAUUAUGAGAACAUGGAAAGAAACUUACAUUUUAUAUACAUAUAUUAUGAGAAUGGCUGUCUGAACAGUAUUGUCCUAAUAAAUCAAAAUGUUUAACACACUGUUGUUAUUAUAAUAAAUGAUGAUUUAAAUAUAAAAUACAAGAAUAUUAUAUAUAAAAUAGAAGAAUUGGAAUAUAUUUUGAUACUAAGAUACCUGCAUUAUAAAUAUAUUAUGAGAAUGGAUGACCGAACAGUAUUGUUCCGAUAAAUGAAGUUGAAUGGUAUGCUGAAGUGCAAGCGGUGCUCACACAAGGAUGUGAUUGGUAUGCCGAAGCACAAGCGGUACUCACUGAAUGAUAAUACACACACUUUAAUAUUGUUAUAAUAAAAGGUGAAUGGUAUGCCGAAGUGCAAGCGGUGCUCACACAGGGUUGUGAAUGGUAUGCCGAAGCACAAGCGGUGCUCACCUAAUGAUAAUUAGUAUAUAGUGGCUGGUAUGCCGAAGUGCAAGCGGUGCUCACACUGGGUUGUGAAUGGUAUGCCGAAGCACAAGCGGUACCCACUAUACUAUUUAUCUGAUAAAGAGUAAGUAUGUUGUCCGAGUAUAUGUGGCUGGUAUGCCGAUGUGCAAGCGGUACUCACACUGGGUUGUGACUGGUAUGCCGAAGCACAAGCGGUACCCACAAUACUAGUGACAUUUUAUAUGUAAACUAAGCCUAUAUUUCUUAUAAUACUCUUAUUAAGUAUAAUAAUACUUUCUUUCACUUUAAUGUUACUCAAAAUAAAUAAAGAUUAUGUUUAAAUUUUAAAAAUUAUA